rnacentral:rRNA from 1 species
CACGUAGGGGGCAAGCGUUGUCCGGAUUUAUUGGGCGUAAAGAGCUCGUAGGUGGUUCGGUAAGUCAGGUGUGAAACCUCCAGGCUCAACCUGGAGACGCCACUUGAUACUGCUGUGACUGGAGUCCGGUAGGGGAGCGUGGAAUUCCUGGUGUAGCGGUGAAAUGCGCAGAUAUCGGGAGGAACACCGGUGGCGAAGGCGGUUCUCUGGGCCUGUACUGACGCUGAGGAGCGAAAGCGUGGGGAGCGAACAGG